AGACUAUGGUUUGCAACUGCACAUGGGGACAAAGAUCGUACUUUUUGGAGAAAUGUCCUCUGGUCUGAUGAAAUGCUUGGACCUUUAAAUUAGGGCUAUUUCCUGGGAAUUGUCUCAGUAUUAUGUGCCUGAUUUUAUUUGUGAGGAGUCUCCAUCAUUUCAAUAGCUUUGGUGGUCCAGUGGUAUAAUUUUCGCCUACCACACGGGAGACCUGGGUUUGUUUCCCAGCCUAUACACCAAUUUACUCAAAUCUGGGUUUCUGAUUGUAAUUCAACUAUUGGUAUGUUUUGCCUGGAAAGAUACGGUUGUUAGUGUUUGGUUAAGAUAUAAACAGAAUGUUUUAAUAGCUUGUUUAGGUUAAAUUGAAAGACUAAUUCAUUCUAAAUAAUAGCGAGGUGAUUUCAAUGCAAGACUGUGUCUGUUGCCUGAAUGAUCUGCGGAAAAUACAUAUUGAGAAUGGAGUCGUAUUUAAAUGACUGAAUCAUAGAAGAGACAGUUACCUAAAUCUAAUGAAUUCUAAAUAAUAGCGGAGAGGUAAUUGCGAUAGAGUUGUGCCCACCGAAAUGUGUUUUGUUAUUCUUAGGAAUUGACUGAUGUAUUUUAUACAUUUGGUGAUUUACAUGUUACUUUUAAAGUCUUGGACAUUUCAUAAGUGUGAAGUUGAAAGAGAAGAGAAAGUUUGAAAGUUUGGUUUUAUUCUUACGAUAGAGGUAAGGCAGAACGUUGUUUGAGUAGGGGUUACAUUUUCACCUACUGGAAAGAAUAGGUGAGUUAGUCGUGCUCGCUGGGCUAUAUUUGGCUGUAAGGGAUUCAGGUCUGAAUAGUUAAAACUUUUACGAUUCGUGAUAGUUUCUGAUUAUUGUUUUUUUUGUUUUUUUGUUUUGGUAAUACCAGUGAAUUUGAGCAGGAAGUUAAUGUAUUCUAACAUUAAAAUCUGUUUCCAUUACAUAGAACAAAAGCAGAUUGACUGAAGGUGCUUUUCCUUAAGGGAACUAUACAGUCAUCUCUCAUGGCGGACCUUGUGGAUCUGCUGCCAUAAGGUGUGGGUUUUCUGUUUAACAAAAGUACUGAGCAUCAGUGUAUUGCAUAAGAAUUUUCCAAUUCAGGAGCUCAAACUUUUUGAGAAUGUAACAGUGAAGACUUUGAGAGAUUGUUUGCAGACAGACUGAAUGGGUUUUAAUGUUGUAAAGCAGGCUUGGGCAAAAUCAGUCAAGUAAUAUGUUAAUUAUGGGAAUUUCAUAGAUUUGAAGUACAGUAUUGUAUCCAAGGGUAGCGCAUGUUCAAUUAAGUACAUAUAACCAUUGAGGAAGUUUAAAACUAAUGAUUGGAGGGAGUACAAUAGAAUUAUCAUUAUUAUUAGGUUUUGUUUGUAGUCAACGUUUGGGUUUCUGAAUCGGUGUAGUAUAAUGAAAUGCUGACCAAGUGGUUGUGGGUUUUUUCUGGGAAAAGGAGUGCUUCAUUGUCUCUCUUUGGAGUGAGAUAGAGGCAUAUUUCUACCAAAUUGAAAAGGCCGGGAAAUGUUUUGUUUGUUUUUAACCUAGGGGUUGCCCUUGGGUUUGAGGAGAUUUCCCUUUUUCCGAGAGCCAAGAUAUCUUAAAGGGGUACACACACACGUGGAAUUUUAGAAGUUUUAUUUUCUGAGUUUUAAUUAAGCACGUAAAUUAUUUUGAUCAGGGAGUGUUCUGGGAACCUGGGAUACAACAUGUUGAAAAUGUUUGACUUUUACAUUUUUUUUGUCUAAUAUAGUAAGGAACACUUCUUUGAAGGGGUGGUAUGACUUUUGACCUCUAUCAUGGCUUUCCUUUGUGGUCUGAUCAGCCUUAUGGGAGGGCCAUUUGGAUAAUGAAUUUAAGGUCAUUUGUGUAAGUGAUCAUUAUGAUGGAGUUUAUAGUUCUUUGACAUAUUUGCAAUUUGAACCAAUAAGAAAAGGGCAUAGCCUUUGAAUAAGGGUAGACUUCCUUAAGUCUCUCUUUCUAUGGCCAUAAGGGUACAAUAAUCUUUCUUUGUGGAGGGUUUUAGAGUAGUGAUUUUGAUCUGAUUAUGUUAUUUGAAACUUUGUUUUAUCUUUUGACCUGUAGUAGUAUUUUUUAUACAAUACUCUCAUGGAGAAUUAUGGGUUAAAAAUGGGGCGAAGGUGGGUUUAUAAAAAACUGUCAUAAGGUUAUUUCGAAACUCCCACUAUUUUGGCUUAAGUAAUGUUUAGUUAUCGAGCAAAGUUUUAUUUUCCCUUAGGUAGUCAGCUGUUGUUGUAUGCAGUGUAAUACAUUUUACACAACAAGUCUGUGAAAAUGAUAUAAUAGUAUUAUUAUAGGUUGUUGUUGAAUAAGGUUAUAAAGUUAGCAAGAAUACGUUUUAAUAAUGGUAGACUCUAUGUUAAGUAUUUAGGACAUAUUCUAAGCCAACAGGACAGGGAUAUAUGACAUCUGUGGGGAUUCAGGAUCAUUGAGAGCAUCGAGAUAAACUUUAUCAACUAGGUAAUAAUCUUAGAGACUACUACCAUAGACAUGUUGAUUUUUCUAAAAAUCCAUUAGUGCAGACAGGGAGACAGUGAGACAUUUAGUCAAUAUUCGGAAACAGAACCUAUAUUUGAUACUGACUGUUAUAAGAAAGAGCGACAGACAGAUAGAAGGAAGGGCAGACGGAGAAGCCCUCCCCCGCACUGCUGAGACCUUGAUGGUUUGGGGGUAGCAUGAGGAGAGAGGAUAGAAGGGCAGAGGGAGAAGCCCUCCCCCGCACUGCUGAGACCUUGAUGGUUUGGGAGUAGCAUGAGGAGAGAGGAUAGAAGGGCAGACGGAGAAGCCCUCCCCCGCACUGCUGAGACCUUGAUGGUUUGGGAGUAGCAUGAGGAGAGAAGGUAGAAGUGAUACAGAAUGGGUAUAUAACAGUUACUGAGUGGAGACCAGCAUAGUUAAAUUAUAAACAGGAUUAGAUGGCAGAGUGUAAGGCUCUGGGGAAAAUGGGGGACAGAAAUAAUACCGUGACUGACAGAAAAGACAGAAUAAGAAUAAAAGGGGAUGUCACGUUCUGACCUUAGCUCUUUUGUUAUGUCUUUGUUUUAGUAUGGUCAGGGUGUGAGUUGGGGGGUUGUCUAUGUUCCUUUUUCUAUGUGGUGUUUUUGUGUUUGGCCUGGUGUGGUUCUCAAUCAGAGGCAGGUGUCGUUAGUUGUCUCUGAUUGAGAAUCAUACUUAGGUAGCCUUUUCCCACCUGUGUGGUGUGGGUGAUUUUUUUCUGUUGAGUGUUUGUAUCUGCACCAGACAGAACUGUUUCAUUCGUUCACAUUGUUGUUUUUGUUCAGUGUUCAUUUACUUAAAUUAAAAAGACGGACACUUACCACACUGCGCAUUGGUCCUCCGAUCCUUCCUACUCUGAUCCUUCCUACUAGGAGGAAGACAACCGUUACAGGGGAAGAGAAUUUGGUUUGCUUAGCUUUAGGAUAUUAAUUCAUGGAGAGACUGUUAGCUCCAUCGGUUUUAAAAAUAUGAAAAGUUAGGAGGGGAGGCAGGUAUUUUGGUUUUUAUUUUAAGUGGAUGGUUAGUAAAUUCACUAGGAAGAGAUAUGAUGAUUAUGUUGAAAGUAGUUACCCUAACUAAAAGGGGAAUGAAAGCUUAGUUGAUUUCAGGAACUAAGGUGUUAGACACUGAACCAUUGCCCAGAAAUGAUUCUGCACAGCAGGCCGGAAAGAAAGUAGCAUUGACUAGAGCCUGCGAAAUAAGAAAGGAGAGAAAGGUGACUAUUUACACAGACAAGCACAUAGGCAUUUAAACCCAUACGAAGCAGCACAGAUACAUCUUAAAGAAGAUAAGACACUUGACAGAGAAUUGUUACAGGAUAGCCAAGAACGAACGCCCCAGGAAAAAUUGGACAUGUGGAAAAUGAAAGGGGCGAUCCUACAAGAUAAUGUCAGACAUAAGAAUAAUUUACUAAUCUUAACUAAGUCAUUGUUUAGAUAUGCAGAAAUAUUGACACAUGGGCAGAGCCAUGUGCCAACAGGGAGGAAGGAUGGUAGAGCAGGUUAGGAAACACUAAGGAUGGUAGAGCAGGUUAGGAAACACUUAAUGGCCUAGAGAAUAACUACUUUAAAAAAAAAUUGGUAGAAUAUCAACUCCAUCAUUUGGAAAUGGACUUCAUUGAACUAUUCGGAAGUGAGGGAAAGAAGGUGUGUUUAACAAUAAUAGAUAAGUAUAUUAAAUGGGUAGAAGCGUUCCCAACUUACUUGGCGGACAAGAUUAUGGUAGCUAAAAUAUUAGGUCAAGAUAUUAUCCCUAGAGUUGGUUUACUAGGUUCUAUUUCUGUAAAUAAUGGAUGACAUUUUAGAUAAUCAGGUAGAACAAAUAGAAUGCCAGAGUUAGGGACCAGAACAGGUAGACAUAGAAGUUGAAGAUAUACUAGCAGAACACAUGAGAAGACUGUUUGUUAACCAAACCCGUAUGUCCAAGAUGUUGUGUCCAACGGUUGAAUUACAGGAGAAGGUGAUUUACUCAGUCCAACCAGGAGACUGGGUGUGGAUCCAGUCCCUGAGGAGAAAAGACUGGAAGCAGCCCCUUUGGGAAGGCCAAUACCAGGUUCUAUUAAACCACCGCCUUUGCCAUUAGAAUAGCUGAGGAAGUCACUUGGGUCCACGUUACCCACUGCAAAAGGGUAUGUACACAUACAAGCACUGCUGCUCACACACAGAGUUAGGAGAGGAACCGAGUACCAACAGGGUCCGGGGGUCACCUCCUUAACAAAGAUUCCCUAUUCCGACCGUUCAUCACUGUGUGUGCUCCUAGAGGUGUGAGUAUGGGGUGGUACCUAGUAGACCGACUAAGGGCAGGAGGGGGUUGGCGGUUUUUGGGAAGAGUAGGGACUCUGAGCUGCAUUAUCGUCUUGGUAAUCUUUCUGAUACAUCCAGAUCCACCACCUUCCGGUACUAAUUAUAUGAUGCCGCUGUCAUUGAUAAGAAGUAAAAGAUAAACUAUAUAAUACACUGAUGAGUGACUUACAGAAUAAGGAGUCAAAGAAGAUCAAGAUGUAAGAUUUAAGGUAAACAAUUCCCUAGGAAAUAACUUCACAGGGAUUGGGUUGGCCAGAUUGAAGUACUCGGCCAACCCACCUCGGUUCACUUUAACUCCUGAUGAGUACCAGUGUUAUAGAUACAAGAAUGGCACCGAGAACUUAGAUGAUUUUAAUGGCUGAAAGGUAAUUGUUGAUUGUGACUGACUUAGGUUUGGAAGUACAGGAGACAAUUCUUAACCUCACAGCAGCUAUAUCUGAUGUAGGGUGGGCUCGUACCAGCAAAGGACGCAUACGACAGAAACUACCAAAAAGGGUGGUUAGGAACUUGCGCCCCAGGGUUAUUGGUCCAACCAGUUCGGCUUAGUCAUCAGAGGCCAGUUAUAGGAGGCUAUAAAGUAGGCACAGGAGGAGUUUUGACCAGGAUGGGAGUAGCUUUGUCUAGAUGGAUGCUAUUGGCAUCCCCAGGGAAGUUCCAGUUGAAUACAAAGCUAGGAAUCAAAUAGGUGAAGGCUUUACUACUACAUUAUUUUGGUGGUUGACAAUAAAUAAAAAUGUGGAUUGGAUUAGUGACAUCUAUUAUAAUCAACAGAGAUUUGUGAAUGAUUCUGGGGAUGCAGUAAAGGGGUUCUCUGACCAAUUAUCCGCCACCUCCCUCAUGACCUGGUAAAAUAGACUGACUCGAUAUGUUAUUGGCAGAAAAGGGCGGGGUAUGUAGAAUGAUUGGGGUUCAUUGCUGUACGUUUAUAUACGUUUUUAAUAAAACAGCUCCAGACGGAUCAGUGACCAAGGCCCUGGCAGGUUUGACCACAUUAGCUCAUGAGUUAGCAGAGAACUCUGGGGUGGAUACUUCCCUGACAGGGUGGUUCGAUAGCAUGUUUGGGAAAUGGAAAAAUAUUGUAAGUACUGUAUUUUGGGCUGCUUUCACAUGUAUGAGUGUGUUGGUGUUGUGUGGAUGCUGUUUGGUCCCAUGUGUGAGAGGUUUGAUCACCAGAACUCUAGAGAGAUCGAUGACCAACAGAUGGUGAGAUAUGGACCUAUUCCGAGCUCCAACCAGUGGGAUGACGAAUACAGGCCUCCAGGCCUAGGAGAUGGCUCCGUUUCUUUUAACCACAAGGAGCCAUUGUUAGAUGAGACUAUCUUCAAUGUUUCGACAGACUGUUCCUUUAAUGAAGAUUGUAAUAAAAAUCCUAAAAAGAAGGGUUAUAAUUGGAUAUAGGCCUAGAGCAGUCGAUGAUAAGUAUCUGAUGUAAAUACAUGUAUUGGUUUUGUUUGAUUUUAUGUAACAUUUUUGAUUCCAUAUGACGGUGGAUGUAUCAGUGUGUAUUAUUUAGUCAUUAAGGGUGGAUUGAUAAGGGAAUUAUAUGCUUAAUGGUAAUGUUUAAAAUAUUUCACCCUGAAACCAUAUAAUUGUAUGAAAUGUAUUAGAAUCAUAAAACUAUAAUCUGACGAUGUGUGUAGUUUUAGUCAGAAUUAGAACAAAGACCUUUUGAUCCUUUUUAAUAUGUAAGCAGGGUGCAAGUGGGAAACAAAUGAUAAGAGGAGCUAUCGACAGACAAGUUGUACUACUGUGUUCCUUACAGGACAUUCUGUCUCCACCCGUGGAGGGGAGAAACUGUUAGGCUGGCAGAAACAUUAUGAAACAUGUUGCAGAUUAAACAAUGUAUCUGUGUAGUGAAAAACACUGACUGUCUGAGCAAGGCGUAGUUUAAGAUUUUAACUUGUUUGUGUGUGUUAUAAAGACUGCAUUUUGGAUUUUAGAACAUUCUUGUGAAUUAACUGUGCUAACCUUUUGCAUAAGCUGAGUCUUUGCCUAAUUAUUAUUAAACCCAUGGUUUUACAAACCUUGGGAUUGGUCAAAGCUAUUGAUUGUUAGUUAUUAUCAUUGUGAUUGAAGAUUCUCAUGACAAUUACUCUCUCUUUACAGAGGUUCAAGUCUGCUCUGCACAUGUCUGAAAGUGACAGAGCCAGCAGCCAAGAGAGUAUUUCACACAGGGUCAACCAAAAACACUUGGCCUGAUGGUUCAUGCAGAUACUGGGGAAGCAAUAUAGAAAUGUAUUGAUGCCUUAAAUUAUUUUACUAUUAAAUGACCCAUAUCACAACCCUCA